CUCGUUUGCUCUCUUCAGUGUGGAAGGAAGUGUCUUCCUUCGUAGGCAGGAGGAAGGGAUCAGCAUCUAUUGUCUGUGUUUGACUCCGUAGUUCGGUCAGAGGCCUCCCAGAGCUUUCCCGGGGCUGUCGGCAGGAGCCUCCGAGACCGUCCCGCCCCUCCCCUCUGUCCCUGGGACCGGGAGGGCCCAGCCCUCGUCUCGCCCCUCGGCGCUCACCUUUAGCUUCUCUGUCGUUGCGUCCGCAUCGCGCCCCCGGAAUCAGACGGUAUCCCAUAGAUGGCCAGCUUUCCCCCGAGGGUCAAUGAGAAAGAGAUCGUGAGAUCACGGACUAUAGGUGAACUUUUAGCUCCAGCAGCUCCUUUUGACAAGAAAUGUGGUCGUGAAAACUGGACUGUUGCUUUUGCCCCAGAUGGUUCGUACUUUGCCUGGUCACAAGGACAUCGCACAGUAAAGCUUGUUCUGUGGUCCCAGUGCCUGAAGAACUUUCUCUUGCAUGGGGAGAGAAAUAUCAAAAAUAUCACCAAUUCAAGUAAUUUAAGAUUAUCAAGACAAAACAGUGAUGGUGGUCAGAAAAAUAAGCCUCGUGAGCAUAUUAUAGACUGUGGCGAUAUAGUCUGGAGUCUUGCUUUUGGAUCGUCAGUUCCAGAGAAACAGAGUUGCUGUGUAAAUAUAGAAUGGCAUCGAUUCAGAUUUGGACAAGAUCAGCUACUCCUUGCCACAGGGUUAAACAGUGGACGGAUCAAAAUAUGGGAUGUAUAUACAGGAAAACUCCUCCUUAACUUGGUAGAUCAUACUGAAGUGGUCAGAGAUUUAACUUUUGCUCCAGAUGGGAGCUUGAUCCUGGUGUCAGCUUCAAGAGACAAAACUCUCAGUGUGUGGGACCUGAAAGAUGAUGGAAACAUGAUGAAAGUAUUGCGGGGCCAUCAGAACUGGGUGUACAGCUGUGCAUUCUCUCCUGACUCCUCUACGCUGUGUUCAGUGGGAGCCAGUAAAGCAGUGGUGGCAGCAAUAUUGGUGUGAUUGAGGUUAUGCUGGCACCACUCGCACACAGGCGCACAUAAUGGUGAGGUUCUGGAGAAUUGAUGAGGAUUAUCCUGUGCAAGUUGCACCUUUGAGCAAUGGUCUUUGCUGUGCCUUUUCUACUGAUGGCAGUGUUUUAGCUGCUGGGACACAUGAUGGAAAUGUGUAUUUUUGGGCAACUCCAAGGCACGUCCCUAGCCUUCAACAUUUAUGUCGCAUGUCAAUCCGGAGAGUGAUGCCCACCCAAGAAGUCCAGGAGCUGCCAGUUCCUUCCAAAGUUUUAGAGUUUCUCUCCUACCGUGUUUAGAGGAUGCUGCCUUCCCUAGUAUUAGGGACUGAACACACUUUACACAAACCUCAAGCUUUACUGACUUCAAGGUUUAGGAGAUUUAUUUAAUUUUAUACAUUCUUGUAUUGCAUUUUGAUCAGUUGAGCUUUUAAAAUAUUAUUUAUAGACCUUAGAAACAUUUCUGAACAUAUCAAAUGUAAAUUUUUUUUCUAAAAUUUAACUGUGAAAACAUAUACAUACAUGUAUAUAUUUAGAUAUAGGCUGCUAUGUGUUGAAUGGACCCUUUUGCUUUUCUAAUUCUUAGUUUCAGCAUGUAUAUGUUGCUUCAGUAGAGCCACAAUAUAUAUCUUUGCUGUAAAGUGGAAGUAACUUUUUAUUAUUCUGUAACACUGAGUUAGAUGGUAAAUACUAACUUAAGAAAGCUGAAUUGCACCAUACAAAAUGUGUAUUUAGUUGGGGGGUAGUCAGACAAUUGACCUGCAAGUAAAACACAGCUUCUGUCUAGGGAAGGAUUUUGCUUUUGUUAGGAGUGGCAUCUGAGAGGUGGAGUUUGAAUGUGACAUUAUUAAAUUAAAAAAUAGGAUAUAAUCAGGAAAAAGGAGUGUCCCCCACCCCACCCCCCAACUUGCUGCGGGCCUUAAUUUUGGAAAGCAGCUUGCUACUUUAACCCCUGUGGUAUAAAUAAAGUACUAUAAAUUUUAGUCAAUUUGAAAAAUCCAUCUACUGUAUUAUUGCUAAAUAUUUUGUUGUUUGUACUAAGGGACAAUUACGACUGUGGUGGGGAUUUGUUUUGUUUAUUUUAUACAUAUAUCCUGUGUUUCUGCAGAGGGUAAUACUGGUGAGUUGCCAAAGAGAAGCAAUACAGUAUGUCUGCUUUUGCCUUCUGUUAUUUAUCAUACCUGCAGAUAUUAAGAAUGUAUGAGUUAUGUAAAAUAUAUAUUUUUGUUGAGUUUUCUAAUUAAAGACUUAAAACUAUAAA